rnacentral:tRNA from 1 species
GGCCUGGUGGCUCAGAUGGUUAGAGUGCUGGCCUGUCACGCCAGAGGUCGAGGGUUCGAUCCCCUUCCAGGUCG